rnacentral:lncRNA from 1 species
GUGGGUGCAGCGAACUUUAUUGAUGGUAUUAAGAGAGUAGGGAGGGCUCCCUAAGCCUCUACUGUUACUAUGGGGGUCUGGGGUGGGAACUGUGAGGGAAAUGCUCAGUGUUGGGGGCCAAGCUGGGUCAGGGACUCCUCAGCAACUGCAGGCCUCUCUCUUACUCUCAGUGUCCUUGCUGGGGUGAGUGGUCCAGGGUUUCUUACUCCUUGGAGCCCAUGUAGGCCAUGAGGACCACACCUUGUUGUUGUCAUAAAGGAAAUGAGCUUUACAAAGUUGUCAUUGAGAGCAAUGCCAGGCCCAGCAUCAAAGGUGGAAGAGUGGGAGUUGUUGUUGAAGUCGCAGGAGACAUCUUGGUCCUCAGUGUAGCCCAGGAUGCCCUUUAGUGGGCCCUCAGAUGCCUGCUUCACCACCUUCUUGAUGUCAUCAUACUUGGCAGGUUUCUCCAGACAGCAUGUCAGAUCCACAACGGAUACAUUGGAGAUGCAGAGAGGGCAGCCCUAGAAACCAGUCACCCAAUAUGGCAAAUCCAUUCACACCGAUCUUCACCAUCCUGUCUACUGAACAAGGCUGGCCCUGCAUGAGAAGAUGCUGCUGUCUCUGGAACAGGGAGCCCAAAAUAUUCGUAAUAUAUUGACAAAAGUCUUAAGUGCAAGGUUUCUAUUAACGCUGGACUACAUGUAAAGUAAUGGGUGUGCAUGUCCGCUAAUGAUCCUUAUCUUAAGUUCCCUUUUUAUGGUGAGGACUGCAGGAGGUAUCAUCUCAACAAUCAGGAAC